GACGAACGCUGGCGGCGUGCUUAACACAUGCAAGUCGAACGGAAAGGCCCUGCUUUUUUGGUCUUCUCGAGUGGCGAACGGGUGAGUAACACGUGUGUAACCUGCCCUUGACUUUGGGGUAACUUCAGGAAACUGGGGCUACUACCGGAUAGGAGCUCCUGCUGCAUGGUGGGGGGUGGAAAGUUGCGGCGGUCGGGGAUGGACUCGCGGCUUAUCAGCUUGUUGGUGGGGUAGUGGCUUACCAAGGCGUUGACGGGUCGCCGGCCUGAGAGGGUGACCGGGGACAAGGGGACUGAGGUACGGACCAGAGUGGUACGGGGGACAACAGGGGGGAGUAUUGUACAAUGGGCGGGAGCCUGAGGAAGCAGCGCCGGGUGCGGGAUGACGGUCUUCGGGUUGUGAACCGCUUUCGCUUGUGACGAAGCGUGAGUGACGGUAAUGGGUGAAGAAGCACCGGCUAACUACGUG
rnacentral:rRNA from 1 species